rnacentral:tRNA from 1 species
CAAAUUAUAAUAAUUAAUUUUUUAUUUACAGUAAAUAAAUCAGUUGUUUAAUUCAACUUAAUUUGA